GCACCGGUUCUCUCUCUCUCUCUCUCUCUCUCUCUCUCUCUCUCUCUCUCUCUCUCUCUCCUGGUGAGGGGCGCUAGUGUAGGUGGUGCGGGUGAGGCGCCUUGCCGGGUCACAUGUGGGCGGGUGUAGACAGCACACCACACCUUCCAUCUCGUGAUCCUAUGCUCCCUUUACCUCCUCCCUUCUCCCCUCCCCCAGUCAUCUCCCUCCCACCAAUCAGGGCGGUGCCAAGAUGCAGCUGAGACGAAUGAGCCAGUGAGCCAGUGAGUGAGUGAGUGAGUGGCGGUGAGCGAUGGUUUAGGCUGCCCCCUGGUUCCCCCCAGCAAGAGACUAUCUCAUAGUCAGAGUGGGCGUCAGUGUACUCCGAUGUCGUCACUCUUGGCUCUCUCCCCAGGCACAGCCACGCGCAUGCGCUCUGACUCAUCACCUCUUCCGCACCGGCUAGGAAGGACACCGCAGCCUGUCCUGGCCCAAAGAAUACGAGCUCAAAUCAGAGAAGAUCCAAGGCAACGCGUACCUCGCGUCUCACGAGGCGGCGGGCCAGCUCGUACUGCGCCUUGAAGAACUGCCUCUCCGUCUCGUCCACAAUGCCCAAAACGUAGAGCAUGUCCCCGUACUGAAUGAGAGACUCCAGUUCGACCAAGCCGUUCCCAAUAGCAAUGCCUGAGGAGGAAUUGAGUGUCUACGUAGUGAGAUCAACAUGGCGUGCCACAAAGGCUUCCACUUGCCUCCACCCACGAAAGGAAUCAAUCAGCAUUUCCCCUCUAUCAUCACACAAGACAAGAAAGAGCCACUAUUCCACCCUCACGGCCACGCAUCAUGACAACACGAGGCUGACUCAAUCCUAUAUAUAAGCAACGCAAACAAUAAACAGAUAAGUA